AAAAUCCAUUUUGCGGACGUUACCAUAUCAAUUAAUAAGGGAGCGAGGUAGUCCAGAUAAGGACUUCUUAUUCUGCGGGUAAUAUGCUUUGCGUAGAUUCAGCAUAAUAAAAAACGGCCUGGAGAGGAUGU
rnacentral:sRNA from 1 species